rfam:Modestobacter marinus str. BC501 chromosome, complete genome.
GGGGGCGAUUGGUCUCGACUGCGGUCGGGUGACCAGGGGAAGCGAGCCGAGGAAGGCAACGAUGAGCUCGUUAACCACGCGUUGCAAAAAACACAAGCGCCGACUCCAGUCAGCGCGACUUCGCUCUCGCUGCCUAACAGCAGCUAGGCGAGUCUGUCAGCCCGGGUUCGUCAUCGACCCGGUUCCUGGCAUCAGCUAGAUGACUCACUGCACGCACCGGUCGCGGGUGCGUGCGGGACACCAAACAGCGGCUGGGCCCGUCACACCGACUUGUUCGCGGGAUCGGUGGGGUCGAGCAGAGACAGAGCGGACUGCGCUCGGAGAAGCCCUGGUGAUGCGUCGCAGGACGCGGGUUCGAUUCCCGCCGCCUCCACCA